rnacentral:rRNA from 1 species
UACGUAGGGUGCGAGCGUUAAUCGGAAUUACUGGGCGUAAAGCGUGCGCAGGCGGUUUUGUAAGCCAGAUGUGAAAUCCCCGGGCUUAACCUGGGAAUGGCAUUUGGGACUGCAAGGCUGGAGUGUGGCAGAGGAGACUGGAAUUCCUGGUGUAGCAGUGAAAUGCGUAGAUAUCAGGAGGAAUACCGAUGGCGAAGGCAGGUCUCUGGGCUGACACUGACGCUCAUGCACGAAAGCGUGGUGAGCAAACAGG